rnacentral:rRNA from 1 species
CGGAAUCACUGGGCGUAAAGGGCGCGUAGGCGGGAUGGCAAGUCAGUCGUGAAAUCUCUCGGCUCAACCGAGAAACGUCGGCUGAUACUGCCGUUCUUGAGGGAUGCAGAGGAGACUGGAAUUCCCGGUGUAGCGGUGAAAUGUGUAGAGAUCGGGAGGAACACCGGUGGCGAAGGCGGGUCUCUGGGCAUUUCCUGACGCUGAGGCGCGAAAGCGUGGGGAGCAAACAGG